rfam:Picea glauca, whole genome shotgun sequence.
AGUCCUGUGGUCGACACAGUGUGAACUAUUUUGUUUCCUUUUACUAAAAAAUACCGUGUGUUGGCCACUUAGAGCGACAUACGCCAAUUUUUUAAGGCUUCCACCUCUUUAAAAUGGAGGU